UACGUAGGGUGCAAGCGUUAAUCGGAAUUACUGGGCGUAAAGCGUGCGCAGGCGGUUUUGUAAGUCAGAUGUGAAAUCCCCGGGCUUAACCUGGGAACUGCAUUUGUGACUGCAUCGCUGGAGUGCGGCAGAGGGGGAUGGAAUUCCGCGUGUAGCAGUGAAAUGCGUAGAUAUGCGGAGGAACACCGAUGGCGAAGGCAAUCCCCGUGGGCCUGCACUGACGCUCAUGCACGAAAGCGUGGGGAGCAAACAGGAAUUAGAUACC
rnacentral:rRNA from 1 species